rfam:Gossypium hirsutum cultivar TM-1 unplaced genomic scaffold scaffold6413.1, whole genome shotgun sequence
GGGUGCGAUCAUACUAGCACUAAUGUACCGGAUCCCAUCAGAACUCCGCAGUUAAGCGUGCUUGGCCGAGAGCAGUACAAGGAUGGGUGACCUCCUGGGAAGCCCUCGUGUUGCACCCC